UGUCGAGGAAAUCAUCGACAGUUAACUGCAGCCGGUUUUUUAAUUCCUCGGCAGUUAACUGCCAAGUGGGCAU
rnacentral:pre_miRNA from 1 species